UACGUAGGGCGCGAGCGUUGUCCGGAAUUAUUGGGCGUAAAGAGCUCGUAGGCGGCCGGUUGCGUCUGCUGUGAAAUCCCGGGGCUUAACCCCGGGCGUGCAGUGGAUACGGGCCGGCUGGAGGCAGGCAGGGGAGAAUGGAAUUCCCGGUGUAGCGGUGAAAUGCGCAGAUAUCGGGAGGAACACCGGUGGCGAAGGCGGUUCUCUGGGCCUGUACUGACGCUGAGGCACGAAGGUCAGGGGAGCAAACGGG
rnacentral:rRNA from 1 species